rnacentral:rRNA from 1 species
UACAGAGGUCUCAAGCGUUGUUCGGAUUCAUUGGGCGUAAAGGGUGUGUAGGUGGCGCGCUAAGUCGGGUGUGAAAUUUCGGAGCUUAACUCCGAAACUGCAUUCGAUACUGGCGUGCUUGAGGACUGGAGAGGAGACUGGAAUUCAUGGUGUAGCAGUGAAAUGCGUAGAUAUCGAGAGGAACACCAGUGGCGAAAGCGACUCUCUGGACGGCAACUGACGCUGAGGCACGAAAGCGUGGGGAGCAAACAGG